CAUGAUUAGCUAAACAUGAGUACGCAUCACUAAUGAAUUUCCUUAGAUACUCAAGGACGUUCUACGUAGAGGUCGUAAAGAACACGUCUAUUCAAGGAUGAGUAUAAAGGGGGAACGUAUCGUUAGCUGAAUAAAAUCCUUGUAAUUAUAGUAAGUAACCGGAUACUUAAAGAGUGUAUUAAAGGACGAAAUGACAAGACCACUUGUAGGAAAAAUUUAUAAAAACAAAGAACUAUGGAGCUUUGUCAUCAAAUUUAAGAAAAGGUGCUUAGACGCACAACGACAGAACCACUACCAUUAAUCAGUACCUAUCAACGGUAAGACUUCAAGGAACCAAGUCUAUACACGCCAAACCGUUACUAAAACGGACAAGAAAAAAGACAAGUUUAUAUAUGGUAAACCGUUACUGAUCUAAGUUUCUAUGACCGGUCAGGAUACAUUACCAUGUUCGCGGUAAACGUCCGUGAGCUCCAUACUCACUGUACGGGGGGAGUGGAAACUGCAGGGUCGUGCGAGGCAGCGUAAAAGACGGAAAACCAAUCGUAUUACCACGAGAAGAAUCCUGUCCUAACCAUGGUCUUUCUAACAAAAAACGUCGUAAUAAGACGUUACACGAGUUAAAUAAACCUUGACCCACUCAUCUACUUCACUAAGCCGAAUCGGAGGAGGUCGAUUAAAUCCACAACCGGUAGGUAAUAAUCUAACAUGCUUACCUUAUCUUCAUUAGAAACACUUCAGAAUCGAAACGGGCCAAGUAAGCCGUGGGAACCUACGUUCCUAAAAAGGUUUAAGUACUAUGAUAUAGGAGACUUUAACUGAAAGCUUUCAUCUCGAGACAUAAUGCCCACAACCGACUACGGGGCUACGUAUAAAAACCAACACGGGAGUCAACCAGUUAAUAAAAAUCCUGUAACACUCCCCUUACACACCCGUGAGCAUCUGUAGGGUUUGAAAACGUUGUUCGGUUCGUUCUUAACUUUAUACUUACCCGACGGUGUUCAUUAAUCUAUGCUUACUUACGAAGAACGAACUAAUCUAAACAACUGCUCCUUAUCCUGAGUUGAGUGCGGUGAAGGUAAGUAGAGCACGACGUAUAUAUGUCAAAUGUCCUCGUCAAGUCUCUCUUGCACACUCUCGGUGAUCGAGGUGAUUGGGUGCUACGUUUCGUACAGAGUCUCUCUCUCUCUCUCUCUCUCUCUAGUACGCCACUGAUGCGUAUGUAUGUGUGUGGUCAUGCAUAAGACGAUUGUUCUAACUAUGUAGAGGAGAGGAAUAUAUCUCUCCAAAUGAACUGAGGAUUCGUUCGCUGGGAAUAGAGAUUAAUUAGGAUUAGGAGGAUUAUUCUAUUAACCCGAUUCGGGGAUUAUUGCUAUUCUAUUGAACCCGGUGUUGAGUGACCCGAUUCGGGGAUUAUACGGCCAGUAUUGUCAAUCACUUAGUACCAAGACUAACACGUGGAAAAAACCGAAUCUUUUUAUAUCGUUAAAUACCAAUGAAGAAUUCAAACCAAUAGAGUUAACCCACAGGAACGACGCAAUACCAGACUGGCACACACACACACACACACACACACACGUGCGCGCGCGAGUACUUCGAAGACAAGAGGUACCUACUUGGAGUUGUCCGUUGUCGUUCGGUAGAGUUCCCUCCCCUAAGAGUUCAGUGGGGUGAAGGUUAGGUAGCUACGGUAGGUGUUCCUGGUUCUACUGCUACUGGUCCUUCCUUCCUCGGGUGCGGGCUGGGGAUGCUGCUACCAAGACAAACACGCGGUCGCUGCUGGUGUUGGAGGGAGAGGCUAUUUCGGCUCCUGUUAAUCUCUCAAGGUACAGUAAAUAGGUUUACUUCUACUAUUACUCUUUAAGGUUGUAAUACGAAAGGGCAACUUAUAUCGGUUUCUUCGUUUAAGAUCGUCUCUUCGUUUAAAACAUCUAACUUCUUGAAAUCCAACUGUUCGGACGUUUUCGUACACAAUUAACACAAGAACUUCGGCGGCCGCUAGACAGGUACCUGUGCCUGGACCCGACAGCGCCGAAGUGGGUGUGGCUCACGGAAGGGUUAUGCAUGCUGGUUGGUUGUGUUUCUACUGUGUCUAACCAAUACGUCCUAGAGAACACCAAUGAAGAGUAGACUCGAACUCGACACCACUUACGCUGGCUACAAAGCUGGCGUAUGCUUCUACAUCAAGAAAACCAAAUAGUCGGUUAUACUAGCAUAUAUCUGCCCUACGGACAUGUCUCCGCAAAACUUA
rnacentral:rRNA from 1 species